GUUUCUGUAGGUGAACCUGCAGAAGGAUCAUUACCGAACUCCUCAUACACCGGGGCAUAAGGCAAACCCGCGUGUAGCAUGUUAUCGGACUCGCAUGCAAGCCGAAGGAGAUCAGGGCCAGACCCUACUCCUAACUCGGCAAAAACACAUGACAACGCAUACUGCAACCUUUCGGGGUACCUGGCACCGGUUUAAAGAGCAACGGCCGCCCCAACCUAUUUCUGUUUUACACGUAACAUAUUGUAACCCAAAAGUAGUCUCUUGAAAAGGAGACGAAAAACAUUUUACCACUCUAAGCGGUGGAUCACUCGGCUCGUGUGUCGAUGAAGAGCGCAGCCAGGUGCGUGAAUUAAUGUGAAUUGCAGGACACAUUGAACAUCGAUAUCUUGAACGCACAUUGCGGCUCCGGGUCACUCCCGGAGCCACGCCUGUCUGAGGGUCGGCAAAACAUCUAUCGCAAACUGCGGGCACAGCAGCAUUGCGCCUUGGACCGUACAUCUCAUCUCCCCGGGUGAGCGGUCUCAAAUGACAAAUCAGAGUCUCCAGGCAAACGGUAAACACAUCCAGUACGGAACAAAACAGAGACGCAGCUCGGUUGCUAUGAAUUGCGCUCCAAGUAUCCGGGAUUGUUGACCUGAAAAUAUGUUUGCCAACUAGCAGGUGAAUCAAAAAUAUGGUGUAAAACUCUGUGACGAAAUUUUUUUUCUCACUCCGACCUCAGAUCAGACGAG
rnacentral:rRNA from 1 species